CUUAUCUGGCUCAGCAGGCCAGCGAGAAGAUCACAGAGAGAAUUCAGCAGGCCAGCGAGGAGAUCACAGAGAGACACUUCAGGGGAACUGAGUCUUCACCUUCCUUGUCUGCUCCUUCCAAGUGCCCGGCCCCUUUGCUCACUGUGAAGGUGUGACAAGGUGGUUCCUGAUGAUGUGACUUAGCAACACGCCUCUACAUGAUCCUAGGGAGAUGAAACUGCCUGACUGGAGACCAGUGCAUAAUGGGAGAGAAAUCCUGCGGGAAGGCACUUUCCAAGAAGCUCUGACUCACUGGAAUGUUACAGAUGAAGACACAGCAGUUCGUAUGAGAGCUCCAGCAUUCGCUGAAGAGCUGGGAUCACGACCUCCAUGAGGAAGUUCUGUUCAAACCUUUGACGUCUAACCUAGCAGAUUAGAAGCUUUGCUGGCCCAAGGCAACCCCAGGAAAUAUCCUUUAAAUGAAUUACAUCUGUGGGAUCUAAUGGACUGUCCACAUCUAAAGCAUCAUGGGGGAACAGAAGAAAAAAAAACAUUUCAGCAUGAAAUAAUAUUAUUCAGAUGGCUGGACAUAAUGACCCACACGCCUUUGAUUCAGCACUAGGGAGACAGAGGCAGAAGGAUCACUAGGUGAGUUUGAGGCUAACCUGGUCUACACAGACAGUUCCAGAACAGCCAGGGAUAUAUAUAGAGACUCUCUCAAAAAUACAUGGAUUAGUUGGAUCUUCUGACCUAGUAGUGCCCAUCUGUAAUCCAAAUACCUAAGAAGCUGAGGCAGGAGGAUCACCAGUUCAAAGACAACUUGGUUAUAAAGUGAGACCCUGUCCUACUCUGUCAUUGUUCCCAUCCAUGGAUCUGUAUGUCUCUAACAUCAAAAUGAACAGAGUCUGGGGAGCAGCUGCCUGGCAGAUGGGAGGUCCUGGGUUCCACCCCCAGGACUGGAAAAAAAAAA